rnacentral:lncRNA from 1 species
UGGUAGCUUCAAUUUGAGAGCCAUUUCACACAAGAGAGACUUGCAAAUAGCCUAGAAGACCUAAUGAGAGGUAAAGUGGAAGAAAUUUUAGAAGAAAAAUAAAGAUUUUGGGGAGAUAGACUGUCGGUUUGGAGAAAAGAGUUUGAAGCUAGGGUGAGCUUGAUCUAUCCAAAUAAAGAAGAAAAAGAAAAAAAAUUUAGUUCCUAAAAUGAUGAUUUGAAGGGAGAAACCU